UACAGGGGGUGCAAACGUUGCUCGGAAUCAUUGGGCGUAGAGCGCACGUAGGCGGUUCGUUAUGUCGGAUGUGAAAGCCCUUGGCUUAACCGAGGAAGUGCAUCCGAAACUGGCGAGCUAGAGUACUAAAGAGGAUCGCGGAAUUCCCGGUGUAGAGGUGAAAUUCGUAGAUAUCGGGAGGAACACCGGUGGCGAAGGCGGCGAUCUGGGUAGAUACUGACGCUGAGACGCGAAAGCGUGGGGAGCAAACAGG
rnacentral:rRNA from 1 species